GACCCUCGGCAACGGAUAUCUCAGCUCUCGCAUCAAUGAAGAAUGUAGCAAAAUGCGAUACUUGUUGCGAAUUGCAGAAUCCCGCAAACCAUCGAGCCUUUGAACGCAAGUUGCGCCUGAAGCCAUUAGGUGGAGGGCACAUCUGCCUAGGCGUCU